AUGCAAGUUAGUACAGCAGUGAGGAAUCUUGGUCAAUGGCCUAACGGCUGAACUGGCAACUUGGAGAAGUGGCAAGUCUUCCAGUAUGGGGAGCAAACAGCUAUGGGUCAAGCCCGACAUCUUUAG
rnacentral:rRNA from 1 species